GGUUACUCCACCGGCUUCGGGUGUUACAAACUCUCGUGGUGUGACGGGCGGUGUGUACAAGACCCGGGAACGUAUUCACCGUAGCAUGCUGAUCUACGAUUACUAGCGAUUCCAGCUUCAUGUAGUCGAGUUGCAGACUACAAUCCGAACUGAGAACAACUUUAUGGGAUUUGCUUGACCUCGCGGUUUAGCUGCCCUUUGUAUUGUCCAUUGUAGCACGUGUGUAGCCCAAAUCAUAAGGGGCAUGAUGAUUUGACGUCAUCCCCACCUUCCUCCGGUUUGUCACCGGCAGUCAACUUAGAGUGCCCAACUUAAUGAUGGCAACUAAGCUUAAGGGUUGCGCUCGUUGCGGGACUUAACCCAACAUCUCACGACACGAGCUGACGACAACCAUGCACCACCUGUCACUUUGUCCCCCGAAGGGGAAGACUCUAUCUCUAGAGCGGUCAAAGGAUG
rnacentral:rRNA from 1 species